rnacentral:piRNA from 1 species
ACUGAGAAAGACCUCAACGGAUGACCAGGU